rnacentral:lncRNA from 1 species
AUGGGGACAGGACCCGGCACCCGGGCUGCUGGCUGGGUGGGCAGCGCCGGCACUGCACCUCCCAGUGCUCCCAGUGCUCCCAGUGCUCCCAGCACCCUCCGUCUGCCUGCAGGCACCCGCUGCCAGCCUCGUGCCGAUGAGUUCACGCCGCUGAAUUGCUGUCGGGACGUCCCAGGGCUCCUGUUGCAGCCACGGCCGUGCCCUGGGGUGCAGCAGGGGGCAGAGAGCAGAGCCCGGAGCUGCCCCCGUGCUGCUCGGGGCAGGGGUUUGGCCGCUCUGCGUGGGGAGGACGGGAGGAGGAAGGCUGCUGCGUGUGGCAAAAUGCAGCCAAACCGCUGGGAAAACCCCCGGGAGGCUGCGGGCAGGAGAUUUCUGCCUCUCUCGGGGCAGAAACCCCCUUCCUGCUGUGAUUUUGGGAGCUGCCAGCGCUGGGUUGAUGCCCUGGCAGCAUCAGCGACCCCUCCUCUGCCUGCUGCUGCCGCCAGACCCAGGCUUUUACCUCCUGGCAGCCCCAAACACCUCGGUCCCACGGAUGAUCCACCCCGGAGAGGCUGCGAGGAUCCAGCCCGGCUGCGGUGCUCCCAGCUCAGAGGCACCAUCUGCUGGGAAUCCUCCCAGCCCGGAGCUGGGACAGCUCCAGGGCCGAGCAGGGAAACCAGCCGAGCAGGGAGGAAGCACAUCUCCCCCAAAACAGGCUGGUUUAGCCCCAGAGAUCGGGCCAGGAGCAGCAGCAGCACCUGUAGGGAACUGAUGAUGAUUUCGGCUGAUUUUGGCUUUUCUAUUUUGCUGGGCAGUUCCCAGGGGGAGCGCUCCCGUGAGCUCUUUUUGAAGCUUUUUGGGUGGAUUUUGGUGUUGGGGGGUCUGCAAGGACCCAGUAUGCCGUGUCAGGUCACAGCUGAAGCCAUCAAACCCAUUUCCAAGGGUGAAGUUUGGGAAAACAUCCACACUGCCCCAAACUGGAGGUGGUUCAGGGGCAGCGUCCGAGCCUUGGCUGUGGCCGGGACAGGGUCAGAUCGUCUGAAACUCCCCGAAAACUGUAAGAUUUUGCCUCCCAUCCCCUUUGCCUCCUGCGUUUUGCAUCUCACGACUUCUGCAGCGAGCGGCGCCCCUGGCAGGAGCAGAGCUGGUGUCAGCAGGGCAGGGGCUGGCAGGCGGCGCGGGGCUGUGUCAGCAGCCCGGGUGUUUACAUUCCCGAAGCUUAUUUAG